UUCCCCGAGCGCCCUCCCCUCGCCAUCUUGCUCCUCCCGCGUCGCUCGCGCCCGCUCCCGCCCGCUCGCGCUGACACCGCCACUCCGCCCCUCCCUCGCGCGCAGAGCAGGGAGCCCCCGCGACACAGCUAGCGGCCAGGCUGUUCGCCCCUACCUCACGCGCCGGGCAGGGAGAGCUGGCCAAGCCACCGGCGGCCAGCCCGUCCGUCCCUCGCUCGCACCGCAGAGCGGCCAAGCCGCCGUUGGCCGGCCCGUCCGCCCCUCCCUCGCCCGUCGUCUUUCUCCUGCGCGGGCGGCGUGGCUCCUAGCGGUCUGGGUCGCUUGCUUUGCUCUCGAUUCAUGGCCUUGCUCCGAGCUAUUUUUAACUAAUCAAUUUUAGGUCUGAUACGAAUAGAAUUGGUUGGGCUCGAGCUCAAAUCGAUCUGUGCGCACGGUUCUUGGGGAAAGAUCGAGUUUAAAGUACCUUGCAUAGUUUAGUUCGAGUUCAUGAUCUGUUACCCAUCUGCUUCCUCCGUCCUCUUCUAAUCGCACGGCGGCUCCAGCAGGCGGCGCUGCCCUACGCGCGCGACGACGGGAUCGAGCAGGAAAAAAAUCGUCAAGAAAGGAACGGAUGUGGACCCAUUAUGAAUAUGGAGAGUCCGAUUUGAAGAGGCUGUUGGGUUUUCAACUAUUUUAGAAGUUUUAUAUUUGUUUAGAGAGCUCCUAAAAUUUUAAAUUUGGUUAGAAUUAUAGCUAGUCUCUUGGAGUUGCUCUUACCUGGUUGUAUUUGGCCAGGCGCUCGGAACGGCAGGGGGCUCCUGUCUUGAUUUGAUCCUGAAACCAAUACAUGGAGAGGAUGUUGCGAGUGAAGAUAUUCAGAAGUAUCUGAUGUGUGUUACUAGGCUAGUUGACAACAGUACCAUAGCCAGGCCAACAGAGAGGUCAGCAAUGAAGGUGUCCUCUGUCUCACCACUGAACAGAGGAGAUCAGAUAACAUGGAUGGAUAUCAAACAGGUGUUCCGAAGAAUCUGGAGGUGCGUGCAGGUUUGGAGGGCGAUGUUCAAACAGAGCAUGGUGCGAGAAGUGGACCGCUGGUGCAGCUACUUGGAGGCUCUGAUCGCGACACCCCUUUGGCGAUAAUGCCUUCGUGAAGAAGAUCAAGCAUGGAGAGUUCGAUUGGAGCUGGCUGGGGAACUGAGGCUCUUGUUUGUUGAGCCUCCAUGGAUGUUGCUCUGUUUUUUUCCCCUUUGAACUACGUUGCUGUUAUUUGGGGAUUCUCGGUCUGUUUGGGGCUGAACUUGCUGUAGGCAAGAUUCAGGUUUUCCCCUUUGCUUUCUAUGUAAAACCUGAUCUGAACAUGUCUCAUGUUGCUUCAUUUCAAUGGAAUGGGGCAGGGCGUUUUUGCCUGUCUGUCUAAAAAGAAAAUGAU